rnacentral:lncRNA from 1 species
GAAUAUUUCUUUUUCAAAAGUUUUGGGUUUAAUUUGGAUGGGCGGUAUGUUUACCUCCGGUGAGGUUAAAAACAGCGGUAGCGGUGAGAUUAGUUACUGUAGCGGUGAGGUUAGAAACAACGGUGGAGUAUGUGUUUGGAUUCAAACGCAGUUGUAACAGUGAGGUAAAAAUAGAAAAUGACUAUUAAGGACAUCAUAUUAGAAUU